rnacentral:misc_RNA from 1 species
UGUUUGUGGUGGAACAGACGU